GACCUUUGUCCCUCUGGAGAUGUCCCCACCCCUUUCAGCACCUUCUCCAGGUGUCCCUGUCACCUCCAAGGUGACCUCGGGGGUCCCUCCAGGACCUCUGUCCCUCUGGAGAUGUCCCCAACCUGCUCAGCACCUUCUCCAGGUGUCCCUGUCACCUCAGAGGUGACCAACGGGGGUCCCUUCAGGACCUCUGUCCCUCUGGAGAUGUCCCAGCCUGGCCCUGGUGGCACCUGUGACACCUGAGGUGUCCCCCCCCCCCCGCUGAAGGUCCCCAGGUGGGUCCUGGUGCCAUCUCCACCCCUUUGGAGAAGCCACCACCGUGUCCCUGUCCCCCCCGUGUCCCCCCCCCAGAAGGUCCCUGUGUCAUUUCUGUCCCCCUGGAGCUGGCCCGUGUCCCCUGAGGGGCUCCAGGUGCCACCUCCCCCCGCUCCAGGUGUCCCUUUGAGGUCCCCCCCGCUCAGAGGUGCCACUUUGUCACCUCCGUGUCCCCUAAAGGGGGGUCCAGGUGCCACCUUCCCCCUCUCCAGGUGUCCCUUUGAGGUCCCCCCCCCCGCUCAGAGGUGCCACUUUGUCACCUCCGUGUCCCCUGAGGGGCUCCAGGUGCCACCUCCCCCCGCUCCAGGUGUCCCUUUGAGGUCCCCCCCGCUCAGAGGUGCCACUUUGUCACCUCCGUGUCCCCUAAAGGGGGGUCCAGGUGCCACCUCCCCCGCUCCAGGUGUCCCUUUGAGGUCCCCCCCCCGCUCAGAGGUGCCACUUUGUCACCUCCGUGUCCCCUGAGGGGCUCCAGGUGCCACCUCCCCCCCGCUCCAGGUGUCCCUUUGGGGUCCCCCCCCCCGCUCAGAGGUGCCACUUUGUCACCUCCGUGUCCCCUAAAGGGGGGUCCCUGAGCCUCCAGGUGACCCCUCCAGGUGACCCCUCCAGGUGACCCCUCCAGGUGACCCCUCCAGGUCACCCCCCCGCCGUUCGGAGCUGUCACCUCCGGGCCCCCCCCCCCCCGCCAAGGUCACCCCACCCAGGUGACCCCCUCCAGGUGCCACCCCCAGGUGUGGCUGCCGUCCUGCCUGUCCCCGCCUGUCCCCCCCCCUCACCUGUCCCCUCCCCCCUCGCUUGGCCGGCCUUGGCUCCGCCCCUCCCCCCGGUACAUAAAUCUAUUUUUGUUGCGCGGGAGAUGUUUAAUUUUGUAUUAUUAAUUAUAACGAGGGUAAUUAUUGUUGUC